CGAAAAUCUAACGGCGCGAAGUGGCGAAAGACAGUAAGAGGAGAGUAUCACAUGGAUGAAGCCAAGCGACCCCAGCGGUGCUGAAAAGAGGAGGAAGAAGGAAGAAAAACAAACAUUUACGUCAAAGUUGCAGAAAGUGACAAGUUUCUUCACUGCUCCUGCGGCAGCGGCCAGCAGCAGCAACCCACCACCUGCUCAACCGACGUGGACACCUGAGGAGGCUCCGUCCUGUGCAAAUGAACAAAAUGAGACAGGGAUGUGCUGUGAGAGCUCUCCAGCAUCAUCCACUGUACUUGCAGAACAUGAUCCAGCACUCUGGCCAAAACAGCUGUCGGAUAGUGCACGAUGCUCAAUAGUGGAGAGAGGAGCACUUCAGGGAGCAAUUAGGGGUCUUGCUCAGGGACACUUCGACAUGGAACAUGGGGCAGCCUGGACGCGAACCACCAACCUUGUGCUUCCCAGCACACCGUCUCUAACCCCUGCGCCACGACGACCCCAGGAUCUUAUGAAUGAAGACGGCCACAGAAUUACCAGCAGCAACUACAUGCAGAUGAAAAAUGGAGAACGGCUGUGCAGAUCAUGGCUUGUCUACAGUGAAAAGAGGGCCCCAUGCCUGCCUUUGCCUUGGGCCCCAAAUUUCUUAAAUCUGCCACUGCACAUGGUUGAGAAGCAUUGAGGUGAAAUGAGGCUGCUCUCUGUAUAUUGAUCUAUCAGACUUCAAUAAGUUUAUCAAUAUUUUCGAUUAUUUUAGAGCUGAGUCUAAACUGAUGCUUCCCAGCCACAUCUUUUAGAUGAUUUGUUUAAGGAAACGUUUCAAAACCCACCAAAUCAACUUUGUCUUGAUUGUUUUUGAGGAUUCGGCUCAGGUGAUUUAUUUCUAAAUCGGCUCAGGCACCGAAAUUCUGUUGCAUCGUAUACGAACCGGUGCCCUACUUCUAAAUAUCUCUGCGUAAACAUUGGAUCGCUUAGUGUAACGAGAAAGAGGCCUCUCAUAGCAACAACCUCACAGUAAGUUAUCACCAACUACACACUCAAAAAUAGAGGUACCAGUUUGUACCUAAAUCGGUACAAAUGCUUGUCGCCGGGGAGGUACCCUUUUGAGAGACAAUUGUGUACCUUUCAGUCCUGGUCCAUUUAUGUACCUUAUCAAAUUGUACCAGUUAAAGUACAGUUGUGUACCCUGCAAGACAUAAAUGUACCUUUAAUCUAUAAGGUACAGCAAUGUACCACAUUGAAAGGGUACUUUCCUGUACUUUAAAAGGGUACCCCCCAGUGACAAGCUAUUCUGGACUUUAAGGAGACAAAAAUGUACCAGAAUUGUCUACACAAUAAUUGCUUCUUUACCAUUUAUUAACAUCAAUGAAAAUGUAUGUUUUGAGAUAAACAUGGCAGCAUUUAUAGUGUAAAAAUCUUAAUUCAUUAAAUUCUAUAUAGCUACAUAUAAAAUGAAUCAAUGUCAAUGCAUAACAUUACAAUAUGUAAAGAUUGCAGUCACAUUAACAUGAGGCAGAAUACUUCAAAAAGUAACACACAUUUAGAUAGAACAUACUUACACAGAAUACCUCAAGGAAACAUACUAACAUCGACUAAAUAUGUGUCGAGAGCUUGAUGGUCCAACUGAUUUCCUGGACUGAGUCAAAUCCAGUCAUUGUCAACUUUGACGUGGUAAGCAUGGAAGUGAUUGUCAUAAGAGCAAGGCAGUAACAGUUUCCCACACAACACCCACAAAGUCUCAACGUUCAGAAUGUACUUAAUUUUCAAGAAUAAAGGGAUGGCUUCAGUGUGUACAUGACCUACUACAAAAACAUCCUCAAGGCCGUAUUUGACACCAUUGACAGAUAGAGAUGAAACACGCUGAAGCACUUUAUCCUGAAACUGCACAUUUUUAAAACGUUGGUUUAAUUUCAGAGAGUUCUGUAAAUCACGUGGCAGAGAUGAAAACUAUGUGAAGAAAACUCCCAGCAUUGCUUCAUUUGAUGACGGUUGCUGAGAGUCAGAGUUAUGUUUACAAAGUUCCUACAUUUACUGGCAAUAUUAUUGAAAUAUUGCCAGAGGUCUUCAGAUGUCAGAGUUUAUUCCAAAAAUACUCUUUUUAAGGUUAUUUUAUUCUGUUAUGUUUUCAAUGAAAAGUGCUAUUGGAACAGAAAUUCAGUUACACAUGAAAGCAUAAAUAUUUGCCUAAUCAAUAGAGCUGAAGUUGUCAUAAGUGGGACCAUUAGAAGAAUUAAAUGAGAGGCAGAGACUGUCAGGAAGGAUAUAUAUGAAAUAACAAAUGUAAACAAAAAGAACAUUAACAAUAAAUAAUAUAAAAAUGUAAAAACAACCUGAAAAUACAUUUGAAAAACUGAACUAGUCCCACUCUUUGAACAAAGCAUUGACUUUGUAGCCCUUGUCAAUAAACUGUGCCACAAACAUUUCGUAGUCACUUCUGUACUGGAAUUCCACGACAAAGACAUUUAUCGGUGCG
ensembl:lncRNA